rnacentral:sRNA from 1 species
CCAUCAACUGCCUGAAAACACACAUGUACCGUCACAUGGUCCCGGGUGCCGAGGUCGACGCCGAUGCGUGCCGCGGUCGGAUCCAUGGGGUACAUGGAGGCCUAAC